rnacentral:rRNA from 1 species
AUGGGACGUACCACGGUCAAUCCUAUUUGGGCGAGGAUUUGGAAACUUGCUUGUCCAGCAAAGGUUAAAAUAUUUAUUUGGCGUACACUUCAUGGCACUCUUCCGUGUCGUGUUAACUUAGCUAAUAGACAUGUGAAAGUCUCGCCUAAGUGUCCUGCCUGCUCAUCUGGGCCAGAAGACACAAAACAUCUGUUGUUUCUAUGUGACAGAGCAAAAGAAGUCUGGAGAAGACUAGGGAUGGACGAUAUUAUCGACAGAGCUUGUAAAAUAGACUAUGCGGGUGAGAUCUUGGAAUAUUUACUUUCAUUACGAGAUUAGGAACUAUGUAUUAUGGGCACUCGUAAUUUGCGUGACAUGAUUGCCAUAUCAGCCUGGUACUUGUGGUGGGAAAGG